rnacentral:rRNA from 1 species
CUGCGCGGAAGAUGUAACGGGGCUAAACCAUGCACCGAAGCUGCGGCAGCGACGCUGAUGCGUUGUUGGGUAGGGGAGCGUUCUGUAAGCCUGUGAAGGUGGGCCGUGAGGGUUGCUGGAGGUAUCAGAAGUGCGAAUGCUGACAUAAGUAACGAUAAAGCGGGUGAAAAGCCCGCUCGCCGGAAGACCAAGGGUUCCUGUCCAACGUUAAUCGGGGCAGGGUGAGUCGACCCCUAAGGCGAGGCCGAAAGGCGUAGUCGAUGGGAAACGGGUUAAUAUUCCCGUACUUGGUGUUACUGCGAAGGGGGGACGGAGAAGGCUAUGUUGGCCGGGCGACGGUUGUCCCGGUUUAAGCGUGUAGGCUGGUUUUCCAGGCAAAUCCGGAAAAUCAAGGCUGAGGCGUGACGACGAGGCACUACGGUGCUGAAGCAACAAAUGCCCUGCUUCCAGGAAAAGCCUCUAAGCAUCAGGUAACAUCAAAUCGUACCCCAAACCGACACAGGUGGUCAGGUAGAGAAUACCAAGGCGCUUGAGAGAACUCGGGUGAAGGAACUAGGCAAAAUGGUGCCGUAACUUCGGGAGAAGGCACGCUGACACGUAGGUGAAGUGAUUUACUCAUGGAGCUGAAGUCAGUCGAAGAUACCAGCUGGCUGCAACUGUUUAUUAAAAACACAGCACUGUGCAAACACGAAAGUGGACGUAUACGGUGUGACGCCUGCCCGGUGCCGGAAGGUUAAUUGAUGGGGUCAGCGCAAGCGAAGCUCCUGAUCGAAGCCCCGGUAAACGGCGGCCGUAACUAUAACGGUCCUAAGGUAGCGAAAUUCCUUGUCGGGUAAGUUCCGACCUGCACGAAUGGCGUAAUGAUGGCCAGGCUGUCUCCACCCGAGACUCAGUGAAAUUGAACUCGCUGUGAAGAUGCAGUGUACCCGCGGCAAGACGGAAAGACCCCGUGAACCUUUACUAUAGCUUGACACUGAACAUUGAGCCUUGAUGUGUAGGAUAGGUGGGAGGCUUUGAAG